rnacentral:lncRNA from 1 species
UACUACCUAAAACCACUGAGCUCUCAGGAUCCAUGCUGGAGGAUAUUGACACGAUCCGUUGUAGGAGUGCUGACAGCCAAAUACAAGAAAAUACCUCUUCUUCACGCUCCUCCAUCUCUCUAACACCUACUUCAAAAUUAAGGCAGUCGAAAUGGCACUUUGCUUUACCCGGGACUCCCAUCCCCACUGAGUUUCCUGCUCAGAUUGACUUUCCCAUUGUUAGAAACACAAUCAUUGAGGACUUCUUUCACACAGAGGACUUACUUCCUGUAACCUUUGUGGACAAAGUCAGGCAAGCUGCUGGGGUGGUAGUGGACAUUAUGGUGGAAAGUGUUGAGAACACACAGGAAGAUGGACAGGGUGCUUCUCAUCCUGACGACCUCCGAUCUGCUGUUAGAAAUUGAGAAAAAUCAUUUCCACUUGGACCAUCCACAUUUUCAGCCAUGAAUUGGUGGAUAAAGUGAUAGCCAUUCAGGACAGCCACAGCACUCCACAGGUCUUAACAUUGGAAGCAGCCAAAAGUGCUUCAGACUCCAUUCUUUCAAGGCUGAAAUGGGGAAAGGAACAAUGUGCCAUAUCCAAGGAGCUCUCCUCUCAGCUUCUCCAGAUAUUUGCUGAAGAGACAGUGAAGGGCUUCCUGAGACAGUGGUCAGAUGAGUAUGAAACCAUAAACUUUGAUGUUUCAGUCCAGAACGAUCCAAAGACUUCUACUUGCAUGGUCAUUCUUCAAAUGAUCACCAAAGCCACUGCUAAAUGUUAUUUUGAGUCCGCUACCAGCGUGGCCACCAGUGACAUUGUAGAAGGCGUGUUUGAUUUGGAAAGGGAUACCAUCAGCAGUACUGGAGAGCAGGUCCUCACCUUCAAUACAAAGGGUUCCAAGAAAGUUAGAAAGGACCACUGUCCUCAAGAGUCUCUGGAGUACCAGCCUCAGAACAUUUCCCCUACUGUGUACUUUACAGAGACGAUGACAACAUCUCAUGGCUCCUUUUCUCCAGAGGGAAUUUAUGAUAUCGCAUCGUCCUUCCCACUUGAAGAGAAGAGUCGCAAACCCUCCCUUUUCACCAGAUUGUCUAGAUCCAUCACGAAAGGCUUUCUCAGCCCAUUCAAAUCUUCAAGGAAAACCAAAUUAUUUAAAUAAAUUCCUCAUUAUAACAACGAGAGCAUUCAUUUGUUCAGAUGAGAAUCUAAUCGUAUUGGUCACAUACGCCGAAAACAACUGUGAGAUGCUUUAUUACGAGCCCAUUCCCAACAAUGCAGAGUUAAAAAGUAAGAAAAUAUUUUCUAAAUAGUAACACAAUAACAAUAACAAGGCUAUAUACAAGGAGUACCAGUACCGAGUCAAUGUGCAUGGGUGCGAGGUAGUUGAGGUAAUACAGUAUGUACAUGUAGGUAAGGGUAAAAGUGACUAGGCAAUCAGGAUAGAUAAUAAACACAGUAGCAGCAGCUAGUGUGAAAGUCGGACAGUGAAUGUGUGGGUAGAGUGUAGUGAGUGUGCAUCGAGCCAAUUCAAGAGAGUCAGUGGAAAACAAUUAGAAAAAUACAUCAAUAACCAAGGGGGUCAAUGCAAAUAGUGCAGGUGGCCAUUUAAUUAACGUUCAGCAGUCUAAUGACUUGGGGGUAGAAGCUGUUCAGCAGUCUAAUGGCUUGGGGGUAGAAGCUGUUCAGCAGUCUUAUGGCUUGGGGGUAGAAGCUGUUCAGCAGUCUAAUGGCUUGGGGUAGAAGCUGUUCAGCAGUCUAAUGACUUGGGGGUAGAAGCUGUUCAGCAGUCUAAUGACUUGGGGGUAGAAGCUGUUCAGCAGUCUAAUGACUUGGGGGUAGAAGCUGUUCAGCAGUCUAAUGACUUGGGGGUAGAAGCUGUUCAGCAGUCUAAUGACUUGGGGGUAGAAGCUGUUCAGCAGUCUAAUGACUUUGGGGUAGAAGCUGUUCAGCAGUCUAAUGACUUUGGGGUAGAAGCUGUUCAGCAGUCUAAUGACUUGGGG